rnacentral:pre_miRNA from 1 species
AAAAAGACAAACCCUGGGUUUCCGUGUUCAACGUUUGACCGUUCGUCUUAUAUGAUUUUUUUUAUAAUUAGUAUUUUCAUUGUUGUUAGAUGAUAAAACAUGAUUAAUACUUUAUGCGUGACUUGUCUUUUUAAUUUUUUAAUAAUUUUUUCAAAUAAGACGGACGAUCAAAUGUUGGACACGGAAACCCAGGGUUUGUCUUUUU